rnacentral:rRNA from 1 species
GAUGAACGCUGGCGGCGUGCCUAAUACAUGCAAGUCGAGCGAACGGACGAGAAGCUUGCUUCUCUGAUGUUAGCGGCGGACGGGUGAGUAACACGUGGAUAACCUACCUAUAAGACUGGGAUAACUUCGGGAAACCGUAGCUAAUACCGGAUAAUAUUUUGAACCGCAUGGUUCAAAAGUGAAAGACGGUCUUGCUGUCACUUAUAGAUGGAUCCGCGCUGCAUUAGCUAGUUGGUAAGGUAACGGCUUACCAAGGCAACGAUGCAUAGCCGACCUGAGAGGGUGAUCGGCCACACGGGAACUGAGACACGGUCCAGACUCCUACGAGAGGCAGCAGUAGGGAAUCUUCCGCAAUGGGCGAAAGCCUGACGGAGCAACGCCGCGUGAGUGAUGAAGGUCUUCGGAUCGUAAAACUCUGUUAUUAGGGAAGAACAUAUGUGUAAGUAACUGUGCACAUCUUGACGGUACCUAAUCAGAAAGCCACGGCUAACUACGUG